rnacentral:lncRNA from 1 species
GUCACUCUAAAGGGUUGUUCAAGCUUGGGAGAGCUUGAAUGUUAUAGGUUGUGGUUGAGCCUUGGAAAACCACUUUGGGUUUUAGUUGAGCCCGUGAAAAACUAGUGUAAAGGUUUUGGUUGAGCUUGUGAAAAGCCAUUGUAAAAGCUUGGUGAAAGCUUGUGAAUUUCACUUGAUUCUUAGUGAAUCGUUGGGAAAAUCCUUGGUUGGAUAAUUAG